rnacentral:rRNA from 1 species
UUACUAGAGUAGCACUCGCAUAUCAAUAAGCGGAGGAAAAGAAACUAACAAGGAUUCCCCUAGUAACGGCGAGUGAAGCGGGAAGAGCUCAAAUUUGAAAUCUUAAAGGGUUUCCCUUUACGAAUUGUAGUUUAAAGAAGUGUUUUCUGUUGAGGUUUUGGUAAAAGUUCUUUGGAAUAGGACAUCAUAGAGGGUGAGAAUCCCGUAUUUGACCUUUACCUUUCAACUUUGUGAUACACUUUCAAAGAGUCGGAUUGUUUGGGAAUGCAGUCCAAAAUGGGUGGUAAAUUUCAUCUAAAGCUAAAUAUUGGCGAGAGACCGAUAGCGAACAAGUACCGUGAGGGAAAGAUGAAAAGAACUUUGAAAAGAGAGUUAAACAGUACGUGAAAUUGUCAAAAGGGAAGCGUUUGACACCAGUGUUGUUUUUCUGAAAAUCAAUUAAAGAACUGUUUAUGCUAAGUUGUUUAGACUUUAUCAGCUAACUGUUUAGUUUUGAGCUUUUCUUUAAUGCACUUUUCAGUUAACAAGUCAACAUCAAUUUCUUUUGCUGUAAAAAAGCUUGAGGAAGGUGGCUUGAGAUUCGUCUUAAGUGUUUAUAGCCUCUUGCCUAUGCAGUCGGAGAGAUUGAGGUCUGCAGCGUAGAUCCUUCGGGGCUAAAUGCAUUUGUGCUAAGUUAUAGCAUUUUAUAGACAACUUGUUGACUAUGAUUUGUCUUGUAGCUUACUCGCUUAUGUUAUUUUACCUACGCUUAGGAUGUUGAAGACUCUACAGAGAUA